UGGAAAGCAUCCAUAUUCCUCAGCAUAGAAUUCUGCCUUUCUACUUCUUCUUGAAUUGCAGAAUUACAUAAAUAUAAUAUACGUGUGUGUAUAUAUAUAUAUAUAUAUAUAUAUAUUAUCAAAUUACUUUCUCAUGCAAACUUGAAGUAGUACACUUAUCCAGAGAUUUAAGGACUCCAUGGCAAAGGAGCUGACAGCUACUUUCGGACCCUAUGGUUGUUAUGAACCACCACUCAGUGGAAUGACGGAAUUUAUAGCACAGUUAGAGAAUUAAUUAUAUACUCUGGAGAUUAAAUUUAUUCCAUUUAAGUUGUCUAUGAUGAUGAAGGAAAGCCAGUGUCGGGAAAGAGGCAUGAUGGUAAAGCCGGCCGACCACACAGGGUGUUAUUGAAAUAUCCUACCGAGUACCUGGUUGCAAUAUCAGGGUAUUGUGGGUAUUAUCAGAAGGCAUAUCUUGUUGUGAAAUCUCUUACGUUCCACAGCAAUAAAAAGAUAUAUGGACCAUAUGGUAAGGAAGAAGGAAUUGAUUUUAUAACCCCGUUAUCUGCUGGCAAGAUUGUUGGAUUCUUUGGAAGGUAUGGUGAUUGCGUGGAUGCGAUUGGAAUACACGUUAGGCCAUUCAAUGGAAUAUCCGAUUCGAAUUCGGAGGAUGAUAAAAAAUUUAAACAAUGAUAAUGAGCCACCUUUUAGUAGUAUUUUAAUAAUUUAACUGCAUUUGAGUUCGAUGCAGUUACAAUAAUGGAUGCUCUGUAUUGUCUUUGAGACUCUUGGUGAAAGUGGUUAAGGCAACACAAAGUCUGUGUGUAAUUUCAAGUAAUUUUCAUGUUUUCUUGUAUGCUAGGCCUAAAAAUUUGGAUUGGUGAUGUAUUUUGUGAUAUUAUAUCAAUUAACUGAUAAGAUAUUGUAUGUUA